rnacentral:rRNA from 1 species
CACCGCGGCUAUACGAUGAGGCUCAAGCUGACAGACAACGGCGUAAAGAGUGGUUAGGGAUUACAAAAAAUAAAGCCGAACGCUCUCUAAGCUGUUAUACGCGCAUGCGAGAGUAUGAAGCCCAACUACGAAAGUGGCUUUACUACACCUGAACCCACGAAAGCUAAGAAA